AUUUUGAAUUUUAACACAAGUCCAAUAUUUGCAACUAAUAAUUCAAUCACAUACAAUAUAUAUAAUCUCAAUUCUCCCCCCACACUUAACAUACACAUUGUCCUCAAUGUGUAAAAAGGAAAAUCAAGAUAAAGAAAGUAAUACUCCCCUAUGAUGUGAUUGAAUAUGAAGCUUCAAAAUCCAUUGUCCGUUUAUCUCCAACGCUUCAUAAGUUCCAUUGAAUAACCAUUAGUAAUAAUAAUCGAAACAUAGAAAAUAAGAAACAAAAGUGAUAACAAAGGCUUAAUAAAACAAAACGGCGAUCCGUAAUUUCAAACCUUUGUUUUGGUGAUGUACCUAUAUACAAUAUACAAUAAGCAACUCAAGGUACAAGAAAAUAUAUGAGGAAAAGAAGAAAAAAGAGAAUCAAGGAAUCUGCAUUUUUUUUUUCUCCGAAAACGCGACUCAUCAAAACGCGCCACCAAGCCGCGUUUUAUGAAGUCGCGUUUCUUCACAUAUCUUGCAGGAUCGAAAACGCGACUAUGCUUAAAAACGCGACUUU
rnacentral:lncRNA from 1 species